AGCGAACGCUGGCGGCAGGCCUAACACAUGCAAGUCGAACGAACUCUUCGGAGUUAGUGGCGGACGGGUGAGUAACACGUGGGAACGUGCCUUUAGGUUCGGAAUAACUCAGGGAAACUUGUGCUAAUACCGAAUGUGCCCUUCGGGGGAAAGAUUUAUCGCCUUUAGAGCGGCCCGCGUCUGAUUAGCUAGUUGGUGAGGUAAAGGCUCACCAAGGCGACGAUCAGUAGCUGGUCUGAGAGGAUGAUCAGCCACAUUGGGACUGAGACACGGCCCAAACUCCUACGGGAAGCAGCAGUGGGGAAUCUUGCGCAAUGGGCGAAAGCCUGACGCAGCCAUGCCGCGUGAAUGGUGAAGGUCUUAGGAUUGUAAAAUUCUUUCACCGGGGACGAUAAUGACGGUACCCGGAGAAGAAGCCCCGGCUAACUUCGUG
rnacentral:rRNA from 1 species